ACAGAAAGUCCCGAGGGUUUGUAAGGAACGUUUCCUUUAACGUCCGUCAUCAGUAGAUCCAUGUGUUCAUGUUCAGAGUGACUUUAUGUGCUUCUUUCACUGUGAUUGACUACAGCAGGAUUCUCCACAGUCACUGACACCUGCAGAUAACAACAGCCACAUAUGAGAUUGUGUUUCAAAGCACUUUAAUACACAGCACAGCAGUCAAACACAACUAACAUGGAGACUAAAACAGAGUGAUUGUGUUUGAAUCUGAAUCAUUUCUCCAUGAAUCAAACGUGUAAAGCACACAGUCAGCUGAGCUCGAGUGAGUAUUUCACUUCUGUUUGUGUCUCUUCACAGACUGAGGAGGUUUUUGUACGGCUGAACAUAUGAAAUGUAUCACUGUGGUAUUCGGACAAGGAACAAAACUCGUUGUGAAUGAUGCUGCUGCUGCUGCUCCUGUGCUGAACAUCCUCCGCCCGUCCAGAGAAGAGCUGAGCUCCAGUAAACUCACUCUGGUGUGUCUGAUCAAUCACAUGACUGGGGCUUUUGCUGAUGUGCGUUGGCUUGUGAACGGGAACUCUGUUACUGAAGGCGUCUUCACUGGAUCUGCUGAACAGCAGCCUGAUAAGAAGUUCAAGAUGAGCAGUUAUUUAAGCAUUGAGAGCUCAGAGUGGGACAAAGACACACAGCUGAUAUGUGAAGCGACUGCUGCCUCAAAAACCACCAGCAAAAGCAUCAAGAAAUCUGACUGCAGCGACUGAACUGCUUGAUCUCCUCUUGAUUUAUAUGAGUAAUUCAGUUUGUUUGCAUAGAGUAGAAGAAAAUAUGGAUAGAAACGAUUAAAAAUAAAGAAAGUAUUG